GAGGAAUGAUCUUUUUAGCAAAGGUUAUAGAUUCAUACAAUACCUACGACUCGAUAGAAGAUCGACUCAAGAACAUCUUCAAGACUUCAACAAGCCCUUAAUCAAUUAGGUUUUUUUUUUUUUGCUAUGAAUGUUAAUAUCAUUAUAAAUGAAAAUGUUUGGCUUAGGUUGGUACAUAUGUUUUUCAAACUCUAUAUAUUAAGUUUUAUAAGUUAACGAAGAUUAUUGCAAAAUAAGUCUUUUUGACAAAAUUUAAAACAAUUAUUAUUUAGUUCGUUUUUCUCAGUUUCUUUGUUCAUUUGUAUGUAUUCUUUCAGCUGACAAUAAGAGUUUGGUC
rnacentral:lncRNA from 1 species